AACAGGAUUAGAUACCCUGGUAGUCCAUGCCGUAAACGAUGUCUACUAGCCGUUGGGGCCUUUGAGGCUUUAGUGGCGCAGCUAACGCGAUAAGUAGACCGCCUGGGGAGUACGGUCGCAAGACUAAAACUCAAAUGAAUUGACGGGGGCCCGCACAAGCGGUGGAGCAUGUGGUUUAAUUCGAUGCAACGCGAAGAACCUUACCUGGCCUUGACAUACUAAGAACUUUCCAGAGAUGGAUUGGUGCCUUCGGGAACUUAGAUACAGGUGCUGCAUGGCUGUCGUCAGCUCGUGUCGUGAGAUGUUGGGUUAAGUCCCGCAACGAGCGCAACCCUUUUCCUUAUUUGCCAUCGGGUAAUGCCGGGAACUUUAAGGAUACUGCCAGUGACAAACUGGAGGAAGGCGGGGACGACGUCAAGUCAUCAUGGCCCUUACGGCCAGGGCUACACACGUGCUACAAUGGUCGGUACAAAGGGUUGCUACCUCGCGAGAGGAUGCUAAUCUCAAAAAGCCGAUCGUAGUCCGGAUCGCAGUCUGCAACUCGACUGCGUGAAGUCGGAAUCGCUAGUAAUCGCGGAUCAGAAUGCCGCGGUGAAUACGUUCCCGGGCCUUGUACACACCGCCCGUCACACCAUGGGAGUUUGUUGCACCAGAAGUAGGUAGUCUAACCGCAAGGAGGACGCGUACCACGGUGUGGCCGAUGACUGGGGUGAAGUCGUAACAAGGUAACC
rnacentral:rRNA from 1 species